AUAAAUACUUUGACUCCUCGUCUUAUUUGAAAUUUUUUUGCGAUUAAUAUUUUUAUUCUUACUAGAUGAUAAAACAUAAAUAGUACCUUAUGCGUGACUAAUUUUUUUAAAUUUUUAUUCAAAUUUUUUUAGAUAAGACGAAUGAUCAAACGUUGGACACGGAAAAACA
rnacentral:pre_miRNA from 1 species